CGCCGAACUACCGACCCGAAAGAGAAGGUCCCCGCGUCUCAGCCUUAUGUAUCGUACUGAUCGGAACUUUCCAGAAUCUGCGGCAUUUACUCACCGGCGCCUCCACCGGCCCCUCCACGUGCCACUUCCGCUUCCUUCUUCUCGAGCCUUCUCGAAAGAUUCCACCCAAUGGGUGGCUGGUCCCUCUGGGGACGGCCGCCGUUGCCAUGGCAGCAGGACAGCCCUUCCGACGCUAUUGGCUCAAGCUGGCCAAGCUGACACGCCUACGCCCCGCCCGCCCUAGCCUGAGGCUCUUUGCUGUCUUAAUAAAACGGGCAACGAAGAAUGACUCGAAAAAUCGUAAUCUUCGUUAUUUACUAGUGGGCGAUGGUAUCUGACCCUUAGACUCGAAGGAGAAGCUGGGCGAGCGGAGACACACCCCCCUCCUGCAGAGACCCGAGACCCCCGGACUCCAGAGAGAGGAAGAUUCUGAAUGCCAACCAAUAAGCACAUCACCCUUCCCGAAGGAAUACCCAGUGUUUGUUUAGUUAUUAAGGCAAGGUCUUGUGAGGUUAUGACUAUUACAACGCCCUUACUACAGACCUGAAAAGGAAGCUGGCAUACGGAGUUGUACAGAAGUUGGAGCCAGUGGCAUAAGCCAACCCUGAAACCCACCCUACCUCUGGAUUUAAAUUGCGUGAACCAUACGUUUCCUUACUGCUUAGGCCAGCUUGAGUUGGGAGUUUGUUAGUUGCUGACAAAAACAUCCUAAUUUCCUCUGCAAGCACAUGGGAGAAAAAGCAAAGGGACAAAGAGGAUCCUGUGUCUUCUCUAUUCUGAACUAUAAUGGGGGUGGAAGAAGUUAACUACCUGAUGACCAGGCUGUAGCCAUGACAGAAGCCGCCACAAUUCUGAGGACUGGCCUCAAAGAAAUGAGAACAAACUGACCCUGGAACUAAAGACUAACUACAUUUAAAGCAAUCGCGAUGACGCUGGUCAGACCACUGCAUGACUGACUUCAAGAUGCCUGUCAGAGCUGGCUGUGACUGUGCUGUUUCUCCAGGUAGCCCCCUCCCUCUAUGUAUACGGCUCUUGCCCCCUGAUUG